rnacentral:rRNA from 1 species
UACGGAGGGUGCAAACGUUGCUCGGAAUCAUUGGGCGUAAAGCGCACGUAGGUGGCUUGUUAAGUCGGGUGUGAAAUCCCUGGGCUCAACCCAGGAAGUGCACUCGAAACUGGCGAGCUUGAGUACUGAAGAGGGUCGCGGAAUUCCCGGUGUAGAGGUGAAAUUCGUAGAUAUCGGAGGAACACCAGUGGCGAAGGCGCGACCUGGCAGAUACUGACACUGAGUGCGAAAGCGUGGGAGCAACAGG